GAGUGCGGUGCCAUGCUGGGAUGUGUCAUUGUAUCCCUUGGAGUUCAGUUCCGGACUGGGGCGCAAAAUGGAACAAGUUCUCAACGUAAAGCAUAAUAAGGAGACUUGCAGUAAUUAAGCGCAUUUUAUUUCAGUACCUGUACGAACUUACGAGAGAGAGAACACGAACCUCCCACUAAGUGUAUAAUUGGUUUGACCCAAGGUAAGAUGGCGGUCCGUAGGUUUCCCGCACUUCACCCAGCUGGCGAGUUCUACCAGUCGGCAAGCCGGCCCGCCUUAUUUGGAAAGAAGCAUGCGCGACCUUCAGAGCUGGAGAGCGAAGCGUUUUGGGAGUUGAAGUCUGCUGCUCAGGCCCCUCGUCUAGGGUUGGGGUUCCAGCAGCACGUUUUUUUCUGCUCAGACUUCGAGUUCCGGAACAAGUGAACGAAAGUUGGACCCCGGGAGUGGUGUGGCGCAGCAGUCGAGGAAGUGACGAAGAAAGGACAUGUGAGGACACACGAAGAAGGUGGCAAACCAGGAAGAGAAUUCUCACCAGAAACCAACCCUGCUGGCACCUUUAUCUUGGACUUUCAACCUCCAGAACUCUGGAGUUUGACAUGGUGGCAGAAUCUGGAGAGGCCAUCUUGGACCACACGAUGGAAGCCACAUGUGAAGGACGUCAGGGCAACAAAGUGGAAGGAGCCAGGGUCUCUGACACCAUGGGACUCCAUAUCAGCUGCACUUCUUACCCUCUACUGGGACAGGCGACAGCAGAAGCACCAGGAACUGGCACGGAUUUGACAAAGGGAAGAAAAGAAUGGCCUUGGGAGGGAGUGAGGUGAGGUGAAGUUGGAUCAGAAAGGAGACCCCUAGCAUCUCCUUGCUGCCUUUACUCAGGUAAUUAUUAAUAAUAUUGUUACAUGGCAAUAUUGUUACACUCUCGCCGCCAUGUUUUAUUCAGAACUGACUAUGUGUUAAGCUUUCCAUGUGUUAUCUCAUUUUGUUCCCCACCUGCAGAAACCCUAAGAAGUAGUUAUUACUUUUAUUUACAUUUUACAGAUGGGGAAACUGAGUCUCUGAGAAGGUAAGCUAGGAGUUAAAUCUAGUUCAUGUGGCUACAAAUUCCAUGUCUUUCCCACUCUGCUUCCUCUCUCUCAUGGUCCUUUGGGCAUGGUAUAUUGUCACGCUAGUCACUGAGCAUGGGGGAUGAGUAGGGAAGGAGGAGGGGCGGUAGGAAGAGGAGAAUCAUACAUGACUUAGACAAAAUUACUUAUGUACUAAAAUGUAUGUUCCAUCACAGUGGAGAUUCUCUCUGUAUCCCCAGACUUUUAAACAGUGCCUGGCACAUAGUGGACAAUAAAUAUUGGUUCUUGUUUGAAUUCUAUUGCAGAGAAAAUGGAUGACCAACUAGAAUAUAGAGCAUAUAGGCUCAUUUGUUCUAAGUAAUCCUAAGUAACACAAAUCCUAAGUAAUGAUAGCAUAAAGAAGAUAGAAUUUUAUUCCUCUCAGGUCUGGAUGUAAAUAAUCCAGGACUAGCUCGAUGGAGUUGGGGUCCCAGGCUUCUCCUGUCCUGUAGCUCUCCCAGCCCUAGGGUGUUGCCUGGCCCCUAUGGUCUCAGAUGGCUCCCCCAUGUCUACACCACAGCCAGCAGGCGGGGGUGGGGGUGGGGGUGGGGGGGUGGGGGUGGGGAAAGGCACCAUUUGCGUACCAUUGGUCAGAAUUUAGUCACAUGGCUAGAACUGGCUGCAAGGGGGAGGCUGGGAAAUAGAGUCUGUUUUGUGUGGCUAAGUGUCCGGCUAAAAGUCAGAGGUUUUACUUCUAUACGAGAAGGGGAGAACGGGUAUGAGGGGCAACCGGUGGUCUCUGUCACAAAUAAGGAGCCUAUGUGUGGGCACCAGUGUUCUUCAUGGUGUGAAGGCUCCAUAGGGACAUAUAUGGUCUCUCCCCCUGAUGGCAGGGGGCUACAUUUAAUCACCCUGAUAUCCCUGGCAGCUUCUAGCUCAGACGUAGGAAAAAGGAACUCUCAGACCUUGGAUAGAGUUUUGAUGAUAUGAUAGAAUCAGAACAAGUGGGUUAGAGGGCAUUUGCUUGGUGAUGAUCAAAAUGGAAAGGACUAAAGGUCAGGCUGGGCGUCUGGGAGGCGGCCAGCAACAGUGGAGGGACUCAGGAAGGUGACUUACAAGAGGGCUGGAUUGGGUGAAGGGUCAGAGAAGAGUCUGGGAAGGAGGAGGCAGUGUGGGGGGUGGAAGAGACAGCACAGUAAUCGCAGCUCUUCCUCAAUAAAAUGCUCAGCAGCCCACAGAGCAUCUUGGCCUCUGCUACCUCAUCAGUGAGGAUAGGUGGUGCCUGAAGUUGAACAGGGGUCGUGCGGUGUGUCUUGAAUGCCACCAGCUCAUCCCGUUCCUAUCAGAGAACCAGCACUGGUUUCCUCCCUCCCUCCCUCCUCUCCUUUCUUUCUUCCUCCCUCUCUCCCCUCCUUCUUUCUUCCUUCUUUCCUCCCUCCCUUCUUCCUUCCUUCCAUCUUUCCUUUCUUUCUCCUUCUGUUUAUUUAGUUUAUCCCAGAAAUUUGAAAGCAUUCCAUCUUGUACUAGGAACUUUACAGAGGUCUAUUCUAAACUGGGCAGCACAUAACACAUUCUCUCUCUUUCUCUCCAUAUAUAUAUAUAUAUGACAUAUACAUGUGUAUAUAUAUAUAUAUAUAUAUAUAUACACAAGCACCCAAGCAUACGUAUAUAUGUGUAUAUAAUCACCUACUGUGUGUCAGUGGUAGCCACCCUGCUAGUCUCUGCGGAACACAGUGGGAAGCAAGUCAGACAAAGUCCUUGCCCUCAUGGAGCUUAUGGUCAGGAAAUAAUAUACAAAUGAAUGCACAAAUAACUAUAAAUAUUAAAUUAUUAAAUCAGUGCUAUGAGAAGUACAAAAUGCUAUGAGAACAUAUUCACUGUUCACUCCAGCAUUCACUAUAUAAAUAUUUAACAAGAGAGAUUAUAUAUGUUAAAAGAUAAUUUUUGCAAUAGAAUAAAAUCAUUCUUCUUGUUCAAAUCUAAAAUGAACAUGUAUCAAAGUUUUUUUAAAUUAUUAAUUCAUAAGGGAAACAAUAAGUGUAAAAACUAAUUCAAAGGAGAAUCCAAAGCAUACAUAUGCUGAAAUUAAUUUGCUAAAGAUGCAAAACUAUUUUCUUCCUAGAGGGAUGGGAAAGGGAGUGGGCGGUGGGGGGACAGUUGUACCUCCAGCAGAUAAAACUUAUUUGCUUCUCUAUGACCAAGAAUUAUUUGUAUCACUAUCAGUCUUGUUACAGCUUACAGAGAUGUACAAUAGCUCAAAGAUAAGGAAAGGCAUCUACCACCACAGAAUCAGUUAACCUGAAAUGAGGUGAAGGCAAGGCGUAGCAUUCCACAGGACAACCUGUUGUGGGUUUUGUUUUGUUUUGUUUUGCUUUUUGCCAUUUCAAAGUCUUUUACAAUUUUCCUUGAUAUGAGUCAGACCUGUACUAGGUACUGGUAAUACAGAGGUAAACCAUACAGACAUAGUAUCUCCCUCAGGGAGAAUGUUAUAGUGUUCCCUUAUGUUCUAAUAGUGGGGCAGAGGGCUGGGGAACAGAUAAUUUUUGGAAGCCAAACUGGGUCUUCGCCAUUUUUGUCUAAUAGGUCAGAUUAUAAAAGCACUUUAUACCCUGAGAAAAACCAGGGCUCCUCUGUCUAGUUCUAAAUCCCCAAAUAAUCAAAGCCUUGAGGAUUUCCUGUGAAUUAACUGACUCCCUAACAAAAACAACUUUAUUUCUUACUUCUGCAAAACUAUGUCCAAAAAUAUGUGAUUACCUUUGCAGGUAUAAUAAUCAGGUGAGAACAUUGUUUUUUCUACCUUGGGCAAACUAAUCCUUGGUAAUUUUUUUCCCUUGAAAUAUCUGUUG